rnacentral:sRNA from 1 species
GCCUGGGCAUGGUGGUGCACACCUGUAAUCCCAGCAGCUCAGGAGGCUGAGGCAGGAGGAUCACAAGUUUAAAGGCAGCCUCAGCAAUAGCGAGAUGCUAAGCAACUCAGUGAGACCCUGUCUCUA